AGUAUAUAAGGUCUUCAUACCCAGUGAUCCUUAACCUGAUGAACUUAAACUGUUGUCAUCUAUUGGAGAAGGAACAGACGGUUCUUUUCACCAUCAGCAGCACCCCAGUAUAACAAGAUGAAUUUCCAUCAGCCAUAUCCAGAACUUGUGGAUGUAUCCGGUCCCAUCCUCCUGGAAAAUGGCACCAUUGUCUUGAUCAAGCAGAGCCCGGAAUGCCUACCCACCAAAGCUCCUUUCUGCAUCAAGCCAUCCUAUGGCCAGUCCAUCCAUGUAUAUCUUUCUAAAUAUCGUGACCCCUGCAUGAAGCCAUAUCGUCCUUGAUGUCAGAGCCCCUGCAGGCCUAUCUAUGGUCCUCAGUCUGUCAGCAUAUACCUUUCUAAAUGCUGCCCUAUCUAAACCAGACCACAGUGCAUAUACCCUCCGUGGCGCCCUGUCUACAGACAUCUGUGCUUGCCCCAAUGCAUCUCUCUAUGCUGCCCUAUAUAUGUGAAUCCAUGUCAGCCUCAGUGUGUGCAACCCUUCUAUCCUCAGUGUGUGUACCUCAGGCCAUGUUUCUAACCAGGCUGUCAGUACCCUCUAAGUCAGGGCCCCUGCUAUCCCAUCUGUAGAUAUCCAUGCUGCCCUCAGUGUGGGCAGCCAUGGUCUUGUGACUAUCUGGAUAUCUGUGAUGAUGACUAUUAAGGUUGGCAUGUUUUCCCCCUUCUGUUCCAGUAUUAUUCCCUAGGUUUUCUCUUUCAAGCAUUCCCACUGUUGGCCUUCCAGUUUAACUUAGAAAUACUCAGAUUUUAAUCUUAGAAGUGGUAUGUGCUUGCUGCAGUUUUGAGUUCAUGUCUCUCCUCCUUAAAGGCUACUGAUGUGCUCCAGCAUACCUGUACACCAAUUGCAUCUCAGUGCUAAAAAAGGAAUUCUGAUGUGAUUGUGCAAUUGCAUCAGGAUUCCUCUCUUCUUUUUUUCACAUUGAGAUUUAGUUCAGUGCUCAAGUGUGCCAGAAUGUAUCCGCAACCUAUAAGAAGGAAAGGCACGGACUGCUAAUUGUGAGUCUAAAUUUAAUAGGUUGCAUCCAAUUAGGUUCUACUCAGAAUAGACCAAUUGGAAAUAAUGGACCUAAAUUAGUCACAUUCACAAAAGUCAAUGGGGCUCUUCUAAGUAGGACUAACACUGGAUGCAAUCCAAUGUCCAUGAAUUAAAAUGGAAAUGGCCUGCCUUCAAGUCGAUUCUGACUUAUGGCGACCCUAUGAAUAGGGUUUUCAUGGUAAGCGGUAUUCAGAGGGGGUUUACUAUUGCCUUCCACCAGCAACCCCCCAAAGGUCAGUGUAUGGCAGUCAGCUUUUUCGUGCAACCUCUGUCAUACUAAAAACCAGGUCAAUUGGCUAAAAUAAAAUAGUGCCUAAAACAAAAAAAUUAAAAGUUGGCAAAAUUUCAGGAUUGCAAUUCAUUGGGGAGGGGGGGGGAUUUCAAACAUUUUUGCCUUGGAGCCGGAAAGCUUGAGAAAGCCCUCGCCUGGUGGUUGUUCAGCUUGACAUACAAUUUUGCUGGUGAUAGAUCGCACACACCACGUUCACACUGAAUAUUUAUUCCACUCUUAUUCCCCUUUAAACAGUCAUGUUUCCCCCAAAGAAUCCUGGAAAGUGUAGCUUGUGAACAGAGCUGUUUGGAAAGCCUUAUUCCUCUCACAGACCUGCAAUUCCCAGAGUUCUCUCAGAAGAAGGACUGGUUAUUAAAACCCCUCAGGGAAUUAUACCUCUGUGAGGAGAAUAGGGAUCUCCUAGCAACCCUCAGCACCCUUCACGUACUACCCUUCCCAGAAUUCUUUCAGGGAAGCCAUGACUGUUUAAAGUGGAAUAGUAGCAGAAUAAAUGUAUAGUGUGAAUGCGUUCUUAUUCUGUCCGAGAAAGAAAAAAAGACAAACCAUUCCUUACCUCUUCUGAAUCCUGGUGAGGGAUUGCUUCUGUCAGAGAGCAAUGCUGUUUGUUACCUCUCCUGAAUCCAUCAGUAGAGUAAUAGCCAGGCCUCUAUUCUUAAAUCUGUGUACAUCAAUAAAACCUGUGUUUCCUCGCA